GGGGCCGUAGCUCAGCUGGGAGAGCGCUCGCCUUGCAAGCGAGAGGUCGCGGGUUCGAUCCCCGCCGGCUCCACCA
rnacentral:tRNA from 1 species